AAAGGCCUCCUCAGUCUGCAGUUCCAGCUCCAGGUAAGUGCACCUUCUCUGGGUCUGUCUGCCUGUCUGCUUGUUAGUGUGACCAAAGGGAACCUUCUGCAUCAUUACGCCAUCUCUGGCUUGUUUAACACUGGCCCUGGGUCCCUAUGAGAUCUUAACAGACCCUAGCUCCAGUCCCCUUCCCAUAACCCACCUGGGCUGUGCCUGACCACAGAAUCAAGGAGACGCUGGCCUGCGAGGGAGCUGUAGAGCAGGGAGCAGGAAGCUGUGUGUGUCCAGCCCUGACCUGUCCUGUUCUGCCCCCAGCCCCUCACAGUGCUUUUCAAGCCAUGCUUCCUGUGCCCCCAGUGGGGCCCUGGCUGGGAUAUCAUCAUAUACUGUAAGUUUGCGAUGAGACACUACAGUAUAGAUGAUGUACUAGUCCGGGCACCCCCAGCUCUGGAGCCUGACAAGGAGGACAGGAGAGAUGCUGCAAGCCCAAGAAGCUCUCUGCUCAGCCUGUCACAACCUACUGACUGCCAGGGCACUUGGGAAUGGCAAGGAAACCGUUACCAUUACUGAGUUUAGUAAUGGUAAUGGUUCUCUUGCUAUACCCAGAAAACGUGCCAGGAAGAGAACUCAGGACCCUGAAGCAGACUACUGGAAGGGAGACUCCAGCUCAAACAAGGCAGGGGUGGGGGCGUGGGAUUGGGGGUAGGGGAGGGAAUAGAUACAUUUUCUCUUUCCUGUUGUAAAGAAAUAAAGAUAAGCCAGGCACAGUGGCUCACGCCUGUAAUCCCACCACUUUCAGAGGCCAAGGCAGGAGGAUUUCUUGAGCCCAGGAGUUUGAGACCAGCCUAGACAACAUAGUGAGACUCAGUCCCUAAUAUUAAAAAAUAAAAAUAAAUAAAUAAAA
rnacentral:lncRNA from 10 species